rnacentral:rRNA from 1 species
GUGGGGAAUCUUGCGCAAUGGGCGAAAGCCUGACGCAGCCAUGCCGCGUGAAUGAUGAAGGUCUUAGGAUUGUAAAAUUCUUUCACCGGGGACGAUAAUGACGGUACCCGGAGAAGAAGCUCCGGCUAACUUCGUGCCAGCAGCCGCGGUAAUACGAAGGGGGCUAGCGUUGCUCGGAAUUACUGGGCGUAAAGGGCGCGUAGGCGGACAGCUUAGUCAGAGGUGAAAGCCCAGGGCUCAACCUUGGAAUUGCCUUUGAUACUGGCUGUCAUGAGUUUGGGAGGGGUGAGUGGAACUCCGAGUGUAGAGGUGAAAUUCGUAGAUAUUCGGAAGAACACCAGUGGCGAAGGCGACUCACUGGCCCAAUACUGACGCUGAGGCGCGAAAGCGUGGGGAGCAAACAGGAUUAGAAACCCUGGUAGUCC